rnacentral:rRNA from 1 species
CGAAGGACCCGUAGCGUUAUCCGGAUUUAUUGGGUUUAAAGGGUGCGUAGGCGUCUUGGAAAGUUACGGUUGAAAUCUCCUUGCUUAACAAGGAAACUGGCCGUAAAACUAUCAGGAUUGAGUACAUUUGAAGCGGGCGGAAUGUGUCAUGUAGCGGUGAAAUGCUUAGAUAUGACACAGAACACCAAUUGCGAAGGCAGCUCGCUAAACUGUAACUGACGCUGAGGCACGAAAGCGUGGGGAUCAAACAGGAUUAGAUACCCUGGUAGUCCACGCCCUAAACGAUGAUUACUCGAUGUGUGCGAUACACUGUACGCGUCUGAGCGAAAGCAUUAAGUAAUCCACCUGGGGAGUACGAUCGCAAGAUUG